GCGCCGUCCGCCGCUCUCGCCUCGCCCGUCAAGCGCCGUCCGCCGCUCUCGCCUCGCCCGUCAAGCGCCGUCCCUCCACGCGCCUCGGUGGUUGCCAUCCGCCUAGCGCCGUCCGCCGUGAGGCGAGAGCGCCAUGCCCCGCGAGACCGGCCUGCCAACCGGAACCCUGUACCGCCGACCAUCAGAGGCACUCAUCUCUGGACACUCGAGCACCUGCAGCCCCAUCCCCACGCCACCGAGCGCUAGGCCACCGCCCGACGGCGCCCCUGCCCCUCGGACUUUCAGAUCGCCGAUUCUCAAGCGACCAAACUCGACGAGUUGAGAGUUUAAAGAUAAGAGCGGCGGGACCUGCUGCGUUAAACAGACGAAGUAGUCACGGACUGCAGAAGCAGUCACGGACUGCAGCAAGCAGAAGCCCUCUCUUCCUCUCUUGGACUCUGGCUCCUGCUUUCCAACACCCUACACCUAGCGGCCGCUCAGCCCCGGAGCUCCCAUCCUUCUGCCCGUGUGUCGGUGUGUGGUCCUUCUAGAAAAGGUGUGUCAUCUUUCAUCUGCUCCCAGUCUCUACUUGGUUGGUGAUGGUGGUCUCUAGGUGCUUGUUGAAUUGACUGUGAGUAAAAAGUUGUCCAGAUUGGAGCGCGAUUUGGAGUGAUGUUCAGAUUGUAGUCAUUCUCAGGUAUACUGAAUUUUGGAAUUGCAGACUACUUGUAUAGUGAUAUACUCUAAGAUAUUAUAGUUUAUUUUAUACAAAGGUUGAUGUGAAACAAUUGUAAGUUAGAGUGUGUAUUAGUAUAUGCACAAGAAAGAGAGGCAAGAAAAAAGAAUUAAUAGUAUAUGAAUUAAUUUGUUUGUUUCAGUGGACUUUAAUAGUUUUCAUAGUCUCAUGUACAUCUGUUGUUAGUCGUUGUUGGCAGUGCUCUCCGAACAUCUCAAUGCCAACAAUCUGAAAUUGUUGUUCCAUGUAGUAUUCAGGUUGUUUCUCUAGCUUUUUUUUUUUUUUUUGUUGAGGCUUCCAUUUUUUUUCAAUCAAAAUCCAGUCAGGAGCAAGUAGCUAUGCUAAUGUAUAUUUUUUGUGGUAGCCAAAAACAUGCAUGACUGAGACAAAUACCUUCAAUAAGUCUUCUGCCGCUGAAAUAAGUUUUAUUUGCUGAAAUUGAUUUUAAUCCAAAGUUGUGAUCACAGGCAAAUUAGUAGUUGUUAAUAUAGCUCAUCUACCUCCUCAAUUUUUUGUCAACUUUUUCACGUACUAAAGUUAUUUGUUUCAAAGACAGGAGUUUUCUGCCCCUAACCCUCCUGAACCUGAGAAAUAGAGGGAGUUUGUACUGAAGAUUAAAAAAGGUUCUCAGUGUGAUCCAUUGGUCUUUUGAUCAUUCUAUUGUAAGUAAUAACCGCACAUAUUUAUACUUUUACCUGCUUUCUUCAGUCUAAUCAAAAUCAGAAAUGACGUGUUUUAAAUGCGUAGAGGUACAGUAUUAGACCUAUGGAAUGUUGAAGUCUUUUCCUCGCUUGUCUUGUUUAUAUGCAAACUGGCAAGUCCUUGAUAAUAUUCAGUUAAUGAAUUCUUCAAUUCUUUAUAUGUGCAGACCACUCUUCAAAAUUAUAGAUCUCUCAAGCUUGUGCAGGUGCAUAUUGUUCGACACUAUGAUAAAAGUGUCUUUCAAGUUCUUGAUAUAUGGUCAAUCCUAGGAAAAGGUGUGGCCAGACCAAACCUGUGUAUGCCUAUCGCCUAAUGGCACAUCGAACAAUGGAAGAGAAAAUAUAUAAGCGCCAGAUAUUGCUCCAUCUUUGUUUGAAAUCAAUUCAUGUCGAGUAAAUAGGUGACAAAAGAAGACAUUGCAGCAAGGGUGGUGGAUAGACAGGAAGUUUCAAGAACCAUCUCCAAAGAAGAGAUGUUGCAUCCUUUUGAAUUUGGCGAAGAGGAAUUAAUGGAAUAGAAUGAGAAUGGUUCUGCCAUAGUUGAGAAGCCAUCCACUUUUGAUACUAUUUAAACCUCUGAACCUGUACCUGUCGAUAGUCUUAUACUGAGCCUACUCACUGAGCAAACUUGGUGGAUUUUAGGUUACCAUGAACAUGAAGCUCUCCUCCAAGAAAAUGAGGAAGAAAAGCUUACAAAGGAGGAGCAGGAUAUGGCUGUCAGAAUGGAAGUCAUUCAGGAAAGCUGCAGCUGAUCCCGAGAGAAAAUCAAACAUGAGUGCAGUUCCAACAUAUCCUAAUCCUGUUCGGACACUUAAGCCUGUUUGAAGAAGCCGGGAACUGCAGCAAUCUAAGGUUUAACUCAAAUAAUCAAAAGAAGUGCAACAACUUAACCCACUUGCCUUGAUUCUUUGGAUUAUGAAUUUUUUCUAUCAACUGACAAUAGUAUUAAGUUUGAUGAGAAAAUUUGUGAUAUUCUAGUGUGCAACCAGUCAGGCACGAUAACAAGCAGAGGAGGAUUAGUCUAUUGGAGCUUCCUGCACUAAAUAAUGGAAUCGUUUCCACAAAGCAGCAUAUGACACAAUGAGCUGAUGAAUGAAUUUGGAAGCUGCACUUGGGCCUUUGUCUGCACAUAGUGAGGAUUACUGCACUGUAUCGUGCCUGAAAAGAUAGAAGACCGUAAUUGUUGCCAAGUUACAAAAAAAUGUUGGAGGAAAGGCUCAAGUAGAGGGAAGCUUACAUGGCAAAAGAUAUUCGUAAACUAUAUCUUUUUUGUCCUGGCACAUAUUCCUCAAGUUGUUUUGAUCUCUGAAUCCUUGUAUCAAAUGCCCCUAUAAAGAUUUGUCCUAUCCAAAUGACAUGAACUACUAUACUAUGUUGUGCAGAAUUGGUUCUGGAUGCAAAAAAUGAUAUUUGGUUAUUAACUACAAUCUUGUUCGGUUGU